rnacentral:rRNA from 1 species
GCCUACGGGGGGCAGCAGUAGGGAAUAUUGCUCAAUGGGGGAAACCCUGAAGCAGCAACGCCGCGUGGAGGAUGAAGGUUUUCGGAUUGUAAACUCCUUUUGUUAGAGAAGAUAAUGACGGUAUCUAACGAAUAAGCACCGGCUAACUCCGUGCCAGCAGCCGCGGUAAUACGGAGGGUGCAAGCGUUACUCGGAAUCACUGGGCGUAAAGAGCGCGUAGGCGGGAUAGCAAGUCAGAUGUGAAAUCCUAUGGCUUAGCCAUAGAACUGCAUUUGAAACUGUUAUUCUAGAGUAUGGGAGAGGUA